AGGACUAACGCUGGCGGCGUGCCUAACACAUGCAAGUCGAACGGGGUAGCAAUACCCAGUGGCAGACGGGUGAGUAACACGUGGUCAACCUACCUCUGUGUGGGGGAUAACUAGCCGAAAGGUUAGCUAAUACCGCAUACGAUCGUUUUGAGGCAUCUCGAGACGAUGAAAGGAGCAAUCCGCACGGAGAGGGGACUGCGUCCCAUUAGUUAGUUGGUGGGGUAACGGCCUACCAAGACUCCGAUGGGUAGCUGGCUUGAGAGAGCGACCAGCCACACUGGAACUGAGAAACGGUCCAGACUCCUACGGGAGGCAGCAGUGAGGAAUUUUCCGCAAUGGGCGAAAGCCUGACGGAGCGACGCCGCGUGUGGGAUGAAGGCCUUCGGGUCGUAAACCACUGUCGAAGGGACGAUAAUGACGGUACCUUGGAGGAGCCCGGCUAACUACGCGCCAGUAGCCGC
rnacentral:rRNA from 1 species